rnacentral:rRNA from 1 species
UUUGAGGCUUUAGUGGCGCAGCUAACGCGAUAAGUAGACCGCCUGGGGAGUACGGUCGCAAGACUAAAACUCAAAUGAAUUGACGGGGGCCCGCACAAGCGGUGGAGCAUGUGGUUUAAUUCGAUGCAACGCGAAGAACCUUACCUGGCCUUGACAUACUAGAAACUUUCCAGAGAUGGAUUGGUGCCUUCGGGAAUCUAGAUACAGGUGCUGCAUGGCUGUCGUCAGCUCGUGUCGUGAGAUGUUGGGUUAAGUCCCGCAACGAGCGCAACCCUUUUCCUUACUUGCCAGCAUUUCGGAUGGGAACUUUAAGGAUACUGCCAGUGACAAACUGGAGGAAGGCGGGGACGACGUCAAGUCAUCAUGGCCCUUACGGCCAGGGCUACACACGUGCUACAAUGGUCGGUACAAAGGGUUGCUACACAGCGAUGUGAUGCUAAUCUCAAAAAGCCGAUCGUAGUCCGGAUUGGAGUCUGCAACUCGACUCCAUGAAGUCGGAAUCGCUGGUAAUCGCGGAUCAGAAUGCCGCGGUGAAUACGUUCCCGGGCCUUGUACACACCGCCCGUCACACCAUGGGAGUUUGUUGCACCAGAAGUAGCUAGCCUAACUGCAAAGAGGGCGGUUACCACGGUGUGGCCGAUGACUGGGGUG